rnacentral:rRNA from 1 species
AGCGAACGCUGGCGGCAGGCCUAACACAUGCAAGUCGAACGAAGACUUCGGACUUAGUGGCGGACGGGUGAGUAACACGUGGGAACGUACCCUUUGGUUCGGAACAACUCAGGGAAACUUGAGCUAAUACCGGAUGAGCCCUUAGGGGGAAAGAUUUAUCGCCGAAAGAGCGGCCCGCGUUAGAUUAGCUAGUUGGUGAGGUAAAGGCUCACCAAGGCUACGAUCUAUAGCUGGUCUGAGAGGAUGAUCAGCCACACUGGGACUGAGACACGGCCCAGACUCCUACGGGAGGCAGCAGUGGGGAAUCUUGCGCAAUGGGCGAAAGCCUGACGCAGCCAUGCCGCGUGAAUGAUGAAGGUCUUAGGAUUGUAAAAUUCUUUUACCAGGGACGAUAAUGACGGUACCUGGAGAAAAAGCCCCGGCUAACUUCGUGCCAGCAGCCGCCGUAAUAC